rnacentral:rRNA from 1 species
UACGUAGGGUGCGAGCGUUAAUCGGAAUUACUGGGCGUAAAGCGUGCGCAGGCGGUUCGUUGUGUCGGCGGUGAAAGCCCCGGGCUUAACCUGGGAAUGGCCGUCGAACUGGCGAACUGGAGUGUGGCAGAGGGGGUGGAAUUCCGGCGUGUAGCAGUGAAAUGCGUAGAGAUGCGGAGGAACACCGAUGGCGAAGGCAGCCCCCUGGGCUGACACUGACGCUCAGGCACGAAGCGUGGGAGCAAACAGG